UUGAAGAGUUUGAUCAUGGCUCAGAUUGAACGCUGGCGGCAGGCCUAACACAUGCAAGUCGAACGGUAACAGGAAACAGCUUGCUGUUUCGCUGACGAGUGGCGGACGGGUGAGUAAUGUCUGGGAAACUGCCCGAUGGAGGGGGAUAACUACUGGAAACGGUAGCUAAUACCGCAUAACGUCGCAAGACCAAAGAGGGGGGACCUUCGGGCCUCUUGCCAUCGGAUGUGCCCAGAUGGGAUUAGCUAGUAGGUGGGGUAACGGCUCACCUAGGCGACGAUCCCUAGCUGGUCUGAGAGGAUGACCAGCCACACUGGAACUGAGACACGGUCCAGACUCCUACGGGAGGCAGCAGUGGGGGAAUAUUGCACAAUGGGCGCAAGCCUGAUGCAGCCAUGCCGCGUGUAUGAAGAAGGCCUUCGGGUUGUAAAGUACUUUCAGCGGGGAGGAAGGGAGUAAAGUUAAUACCUUUGCUCAUUGACGUUACCCGCAGAAGAAGCACCGGCUAACUCCGUGCCAGCAGCCGCGGUAAUACGGAGGGUGCAAGCGUUAAUCGGAAUUACUGGGCGUAAAGCGCACGCAGGCGGUUUGUUAAGUCAGAUGUGAAAUCCCCGGGCUCAACCUGGGAACUGCAUCUGAUACUGGCAAGCUUGAGUCUCGUAGAGGGGGGUAGAAUUCCAGGUGUAGCGGUGAAAUGCGUAGAGAUCUGGAGGAAUACCGGUGGCGAAGGCGGCCCCCUGGACGAAGACUGACGCUCAGGUGCGAAAGCGUGGGGAGCAAACAGGAUUAGAUACCCUGGUAGUCCACGCCGUAAACGAUGUCGACUUGGAGGUUGUGCCCUUGAGGCGUGGCUUCCGGAGCUAACGCGUUAAGUCGACCGCCUGGGGAGUACGGCCGCAAGGUUAAAACUCAAAUGAAUUGACGGGGGCCCGCACAAGCGGUGGAGCAUGUGGUUUAAUUCGAUGCAACGCGAAGAACCUUACCUGGUCUUGACAUCCACGGAAGUUUUCAGAGAUGAGAAUGUGCCUUCGGGAACCGUGAGACAGGUGCUGCAUGGCUGUCGUCAGCUCGUGUUGUGAAAUGUUGGGUUAAGUCCCGCAACGAGCGCAACCCUUAUCCUUUGUUGCCAGCGGUCCGGCCGGGAACUCAAAGGAGACUGCCAGUGAUAAACUGGAGGAAGGUGGGGAUGACGUCAAGUCAUCAUGGCCCCUUACGACCGGGGCUACACACGUGCUACAAUGGCGCAUACAAAGAGAAGCGACCUCGCGAGAGCAAGCGGACCUCAUAAAGUGCGUCGUAGUCCGGAUUGAGUCUGCAACUCGACUCCAUGAAGUCGGAAUCGCUAGUAAUCGUGGAUCAGAAUGCCACGGUGAAUACGUUCCCGGGCCUUGUACACACCGCCCGUCACACCAUGGGAGUGGGUUGCAAAAGAAGUAGGUAGCUUAACCUUCGGGAGGGCGCUUACCACUUUGUGAUUCAUGACUGGGGUGAAGUCGUAACAAGGUAACCGUAGGGGAACCUGCGGUUGGAUCACCUCCUU
rnacentral:rRNA from 1 species